GUGGACAUAGCCUAUAUCCCAUUCGUUGAGAAGUUCCAAGUCUUCUUAUCAGACGUGUUCAAGUAUGACAUCACAGCUGGGAGGCCUAAACUAGCAGCAUUCUUGGAGGUACAUUAACAAGUCAUAGAAUUGUAUAAUGAAUGUCAUGGAUUCCAUUGUCUGAGCUUUAUCCCAUGUACGGGAUGACUGUCUCUCAUCUGUUUUAAAAACAAACUUAAACGUUUCAUGAGGCUAAGCUAGCUGUUCAAGUGGUUUCCGAGCAAGAAUUCUAAGCAAAAGCACUCCGUUAACCACUAUCUUAAAAUCGGAUUCGAUAGAGGACGUGCUCCUCUGUAAUAUCUCAUAAAGAUGGUGAUUAUUAUGGUUGUUAUAUAUAUCCUUGUGCAGGAAAUCAACAAGAUUGAGGCAUACAAGGUAACCAAAGCUGAUCCAAAGGAGAUUGUUGCAGAAUACAAGAAGAAAUUCCUGGUACAUUCUCUUUUGCUGACCUACAAUUCGAAAUUUGUGCUCAGUCGUUCUUUCUAUAUUCAUUAUGCUGGUUUGAUAACCUCUGCGGAAUACUUUUCGUUACAGGAGCAACAGUAAACCUGUGAAAUAUUCUGCUGCGGACGCCGUAUAAAUAAGUGGCUGAGCACAUCAACAGAUUGUUCGUCAGCUUAAUUAUGUAUGCAGAUUAUGUAGUCUUGUUAUAGAUACGGACUUGUGUGUAUUUGGAUAUUUGUCUUUGUUACAUUAAUAAAAUUCGGGUCCUCGGAUUCUGUUCGGUGUUCGGGUCCAGCCUCUCGUAAUCUAUCAACAAUUUCUUCAGAAGAGGGAAGUUUCUUUGCAAAGCAAAGUACGAUAAUUACCAAACAAUAUAGUCCAAACCACAUUGGCCAAAUGUUUUUCUAUAUAUAUUUUAUAAGUCGAAGUUCUCUAUCUUUUCUUCCACUACUCUUCAAAUAAAACAAGGCAAAAUGCUUCUAAUAUCAUACCACGUCGUAAUGAAAAAUACAUAUACUAAUCUGAGAUAGAAGAGAUCAACAAAAUUCCAUGUUUCAACAAAAAAAAUGGGGGAAAAACUAACCAAAAGCCCCAAAAAAAGUUUCCUUUUAAUCAUCAGGACAAAAGUUUUCAAAAAUACCAAUGCUACCCUUCAAAUAUCUAUACAAAAUUGGCCAAGUAUUCAGUAAAGUUCACGUGGUAUUCACCAAAGAAUACAUCCAAAGAAGAAAAAGGAGGAUUGACACUUUCAGAAAACAUUUGAAUGCAAAAGUUAAGGUGGCCAUUGCAACAGCCAAGACAACAUGAAUUCACAUGACCUUCAUUAAAGCAAAGACAAGUCAGCCAGCUUUCAGAAAUAAUGCUGACAACUUUCGUGCUGUCACUAUUCAAAAAGUUGUAAAUAGAUGAAAAGUUAUUUUGUUGUUUAGGAAUUAGGUUUUGUAUAUAAGGGAGUUUUUCCUCCCAUGCAGAAUACACGAAAUAACACACAACACACCUCAACAUCUCAAUACCUCAACACCAUACUCACAUCAUACUUCAACCUACAAACACUCAAGCAUCCGAAACCUUCCUAGCAUCCUUUGUAAACAUUCUAUACAUCAAUAAAAGUUCAAGUGUACAAAUUCAAGCAAUCUUCAAUUCUUAAGUAAGCUCUCUUUUCUUUCUUUAGUGUGUUUGUUCAAUUAGACUUCUAGUCCAAAAUAGGGAAACACUAUUUUCAUUAUAUAUUAUUAACCUGUUAACCCGACGAUCAUACUUUGUUCGAGCAUUCUGUUAUAGUUGAAUGCUUGCCAUACAAAUAACUGGACAUUAAUCAGGGUACUUCUGAGUGAGUAUUUAUAGUAUAGAGAGUAUUAAUAUGAUAGAUUUUGAUUCUGAAGAUUCAAGUAGUUCAAAUGGUGAUUUAGAAGAGUAUAUAUGUUCAUUCAUAGAAGAACAACAUGAAGAAGAAUAUAAAUACAUUAAUUUAGGUUGGCCAGAAAAUGUCAUAAGUGUAGCAAGUUAGUUGCAAAUAAAUACUAUAAUACAUAUUCAAUAUUAUGUGAAAAGUGUUACAGUAAUAGGUUAUUAGAAGUUAAUUCAGUAGAAUCACAAGAAAGUACUGAAAUAUUAGGAAAUACUGUUCAUAGUAUAGAAAGGCCAAAAAAAUAGUUAUUUAAUUACCAUAAAUUGUGAAAUAGAAUUAGCAAAAUAACAUAAGAUACAAACAACAGCUAUGAUAGAUACAGAGAAUACAAAGAGUGUCAUAAGAGAAGAAUUAGCACCAGAAAAAUAUGGACAAAAAUUAGCAAAACCAAUAAGAAUAACAUAGUUUGAUGAGAGACCGGUUUACUUAACAGAUUGCAUUAAUAAUGAGUCUAUUAAAGUAGAAAAACAACAAUUUAAUUUACCAUUAACAUUUGUUUCAUCAGUAGGAUCAUACGCAUUCAUUUUAGGUUUAAAUUGCUUGAAAAGCUUGCAAGGUUUUUUUUAUUUAUGAACCUUAACAUAACCUUUUUCAAAAGAGGUAUUACAAUAGCUGAUCAAAGUAAUACUGUAGAAGCAUACAAAAGCAUAAGUGUAGAAGAAUUUAGUAGUCAAGAUAGUUAUUAUUUGGAAAACUCAAAAGAAAAUGAUGAGCAUAAUAACAUAGAAGAGUUUGAUGAAGAAUUAUUUGAACAUGAAUAUCCGAUUUUAGAAGAAAGAACCCAUAUAAAAAUAUUACAAUUAGAUAAAUUAAAGAGUUUAGAAGAAUUAUUACAAUUACCAGAACAAACUAGGAUCAUAGGAGAAGACCCACAUUUACAUUGGAGUAAAAAUAAAAUAAUAGCAAAAUUAGAUAAAAGAGCUUAUUGACCUCAUAGAUAGUAAGCCUAAGCAAGUAGAACUCAGAUCAUUAGAAAUAGUUGAGCAAUUAAGAUUAGAAGUUCAAAAAAAUUCAAUUAUUGCAAAAUGAGUUGAGUGAACAAGUAGAUAAGUUGCAUAAUAAAAUAGAUAAAUUAUUAGUUUAAUGACCGAUUCUAGAACUAGCAGAAAAUAUAUCCAAACUUUGAAAGAAAUUAGUAAGCUAGAUAAAGAACCAGUAGGUUUAACAGAUUUUUCAACACAAGUAGCUAGUAGUAAUAUUCCCAUUAGGCAAACUAAUUUAAUUAUUCAAUUACUUUUAAGUUUGGCUAAAAAAUUAGAUCAAGUUGAAGAACAAAUACCAUAAAUAAAUCAAGUUUUACAUAACACAUCUCCAUCACUUCCACCAUUUUUGUUAGAAAAAUUAGAAAAUUUAACUUUAAGUACAAAUAAUCAUAUUAGAAGACCUAAGAUAAAUCAUUUUGAUAACAGAAAAUGGAACUCUUUAAGAGAGAAAAGAAGUAGUUAGAGCUGAAGAAAUUUAUCCAAAUGAAGAAGAAGCACAAGAAUUUAAUAGAAGAUGAUUUGAGAAAACACAGAAAAAUAAAUAUAAUUUGUACCAAUUAGGUUUAUUUGAAAACAGAAGUAGGAUUGUAAGUAGCAUCAGUCAAGAUGAAGUUAGAUGUAUUGAUAAAGAAGUUAUACUUAAUUUACUUAGUAAGGAAGCAAUUAUGCAUUUGAGAAAAUCAAUCAUGUCACAGCCCGUCCCGGGAUUUUCUUAUUAAGGACGUGAAAUGACGGAUUUACCCUUAGUGGGUAUUAAGGUAUGUGUGUGACAUUAUUUGGUUUAACCUUAGAUAUGUUUUGGAAGAAAAUAAAUAAGAUGAGUUGGAUUAUUAAAUUUGGUUUUUGUUAAUUUUGGUUAGGGAUUUAGAUGAUGGAUGGUGUGGAUUGAAAGGGACCAUCUAAACCCUUACCCUCUCUCUAUCCCGUAGCUCUCUCUCUCUCCUCCAUCUCGACACUCUCUCUCUCACACCCAUAUUGUACGGCCACACCCAAAACCCCCCAAAACUCAGUGGAUCGAAGUAAACAAGGUAAGAAUCUUCAUCCUCGUGAUGGUUUGAGUUGAUUGGUGCUAGUUUUAGGAUGUGGAACCUUCGAUUUCACGUGAACCCGAACCCCCCAUUUUUGGUCACUGUUCAUGCACACGUGAAAUGUUGUGUUUCAGGGAAUUCUAAGCUUAUAGUGAGCUUAGUGAGGUCCCAAGGAAACUCGGAGUGCUUCGUUUGAAGGAUUUGGACGUCGGGAUCACGAGGGUUGAGUUUGGCCGGUUUUGCUUGGAUUUUUCCGGUGAGAUUUAGUUGUUUUUGGAGCUUAAAAAUAGUGUAUCGUGACUCUACAUGUUUGGGGCUUCAUUUUGGUAUAAAAUACGAAGAAAAUGGUUGAGAAACAAAGGAGAAUAAGGCGUUUAAAGUUUGGCCGGAAACCGGCCGUCGGAAAAAACCAGUCCGGCGAACCAAGGUUGGGGAUGAUGCGUGUGGGGGCGCGUGUCCCCGUGCCUGUCCUGGCCCGUGGGGGCGCAUGCGGCCUCCAAAAAUUUAUUUAAAAAUUUCUCGACGUCCGUGACGUCGAAUAGGUCGAUGUGGUAUAUUCAUAUACCCAAAUUGAGCAUCGUAUGAGAAGUUAUUUCGAAUUGUUGGUUAUGUUUUAAAUUAAUGUUUUUAUAGUUGUUUCGCAUAUAGGUGACACUUAUCCCGAGGACGAGCGCAUCCAGGGACGUCACGGGGGUUACGACCCAUCGACUUAUCAAUGAGUGGGCAGUUUUGUUUUCGUAUUACCUAUAUACAACUGUUUUUCCCAGAAAAUGCGUUUAUAUGAAAAUUAUGAUUUAAAUUGCCAUGCAUGCAAAUGUUGAGAUAUUUAGUUUGAUAAUGGAUGCAUAUAUAUGUUAAUUGACGCGGUGGACGCACAUGUGAGUUUUUAUAUUAUUCAGAUGAGUUAUUUUAUGAGAAUUGCAUUGAAAGCUCAUAACCUGCACCCUAGGUGUUAGUGCUUAUAUUAUUAUUUCACCACACCGCACGCUCGUCUUGGAUCCAAGUAGGUGGAUGUCGUACAGACCAUGUGAGGGUUCCGACAUGCUAGUCGUAUAGAUCACUAGAUGUGAUUCCGACUAGUGGGUGACCUUAGUUAUGCGCGCUGAUGAUUGAUGAGAGAAGCACUAGAGAGCGUAUUUAUACACCUUUCAUCGUACAGACUACUAUACGUAGUUCCGAGUGAUGUGCAGUGUAGUGCCGUACAGAUCACAGUUGGUGACUCCGGCAGGGCCGUAUAGGUUACUAUGGUGACUCCGGUUGAGUGGGAUGUUGAGCUUUAGAAUCAGCCGUACAUGACCAUUGUAGGGUCUCCGGUUGAUUUAUUAUUUCACCUGAUUGAUAUUGGUGCAUUUCUGAUUAUAUUUGGCAUGGCGUGGCAUAUUAUUUCUGAGAUGUUAUGUUGUUGGAUAUGAGCUGAGUUUUGAUGAUAUGUGUAUAUUACUAUUUUUCUGGGAAAGUAUACAGGUUUUACGGUGAGGGGUUAGAAAUGUUUUAAAUGAAAUGUUUUGGAAAAUCUUUGAUUUUACUGACCCACUCAUCUUUGUUUUGCGCCCCUCCAGGUUCUAGUUAGCGGUUGGUGGCUCUCGAGGUCUUUUUACGGCAUUUUGAUAGACGUUCUGCAUGUAGGACUCACCUGCGGGUGAUGUAUUUUAUUUUGGUCCUACUUGACUGCACUUAGACCUAUGCUCUGAAUUUAUGUGUUUACCUUAUAACUCAUCCUUUUAUUCUAGUAGGUACUAGAGAUUGGUUUGAAUUCCUUCAUAUUCUGUUAUAUCUUGCUUCCGUGUCGCACUUUUGGUUACGUCACGCUCACGUGACAGCCAGCACGCCUUGAUCCUCUGGGUCGGGGUGUGUGUCAGUUUGGUAUAAGAGCCUAGGUUGCAGUCUUGUAUAAUUGUUAAUGCUUUAAUGAUUUUUUGAUGUUUUCUGUCAGAAUUAUGCCGCCUCGUAGAGAGCGUAGGGAGUCCCGCCGUACUUCUGACCCUAAUUUCCCUGAUAUCAUUCAGUUGGGGGAAGCAAUGGCUCAGGCUUUUCAGAAUGUAAUUCGUCCUCCUCCCCUACCUCAGAGGACACCCUUGGAGACCAUGUACAAUUUGAAACUGGAUCGUUUUAUGGGUAAUGAAGGUCACGAGGGGGCAGAGAAAUGGCUAGAUCAUAUUGAAAAGACAUUUCAGGUGAUGCAAAGUCAGGGGAACUUUCCGGCUGAUAGAUGGGUUGAGACCACUACCUGGUUUUUGGGUCGAGAGCCGGCAGGUUGGUGGAGGAAUCAGACGCAGUUUAUGUCCCCAGCUAUGGCAUCUGAUUAGGAAGUAUUUAAAGAUAAUUUCAAGAAAAGAUUUGUCCCCUCAGAGUAUAUUGAUCGCAAGAAACAAGAAUUUACUCGAUUGAAACAGAAGAAUAUGACAGCUCAUGAGUACUACAGAAAGUUUACUGAUUUGUGUCGUUAUGACCCUGAUACAGCUGGUAAUCAGGGAGAGAUGCUUCGACGUUUCAAGUUGGGAUCUAAGAAAAAGUGGCGGACUUUUGCCAGUGCACUUCCCUGUGCCGAUUAUCAUGAGUUUUUCGAGAUUUUGGUUAGGAUGGAGGACUCUGAUAAUCUUCCCAGUGAGAGUGAGGAUGACGAGGACAAGAAUGAUGGUCAGAAGAAGGAUGAUAAAGGUAAGGGUAUCUCUAUUCCGAGACCUUUCAAGACGCAGAAUUUUAAGAAGAGUGGGGCGAGUUUGAGUUUUUCUAGUGGUGGAUAUAGUAUUACUGGCCCGAGGAGAGGUGGUGGUAGAUUUUCUGGUGAGCCUAGAUUUCAGAGGCAGAGGGAUUCUGGUGGUGUUGGUGGUUCUGGCGCUCCGUGGUGCCACCGUUGUAAUUUUCGUCACCAUGGUGAGUGUAGGAGAGGUAGUGGUGCUUGUUUUACUUGUGGGCAAAUGGGACAUCGGGCUUCUCAGUGUCCCUAGGGUCAGCACAGACCGCAGCAGACCACUAUGCCACCUCCAGCGCCGAUUCAGCAAAGCUUUGGACCGGGCAGUUAUGGCCAGUCGGGUCGUGGUGGUGCCUACCACUACCAGGGGGAUGCUGCUCCAUAUGCUUCCGGACCUUAUCAGUAUCCCCAGGAGCCUUAUCCUCAGGCAGGGUAUUCUCAGGACUUUGGGGGUUAUUCUUCUUAUUCAUCUAUGCCAGCUGGUGGAUAUUAGUGGCAUUAGGGAGGUCAGCCCCGUAAGGGGGAAGUUGCCACUGGUGGUGCCAGAUCAUCUAGACAGCCUAGUCAGUCAGGCCAGGGACGUGCUCCCCAUGGGCGAGGUAAUCAAGGCAAUAGAGGUCGUGGUGGACGACAGCAAGCUCAGGGGCGUGUUAAUCACAUCUCACUGCAAGAGGCUCAGAACCAUCCGGACUUGAUCAUGGGUACGUUAAAUGUUCUUGGUCAUUUUUCUAAGGUUUUGAUUGAUUGUGGUGCUACGCAUUCUGUGAUUUCUCAUAUUUCUCAUACGUUUGCUCAAAUGACUCAACCUCACCCUUUCACCUCUAGGAUUUGAUUUAGAGUUUGCCAUGCCUAUAGGAGAUAAAUGUUAUGUUGAUAGUGUGUAUCUUGGGUGUCCAGUGAUGGUAGAGGGCAUAGUUAUGCCAGCUGAUCUUAUUCCGUUAGAUAUUGUGGAUUUUGAUGUGAUUCUAGGGGCUGAUUGGUUGCAUUAUAAUCGUGCCCAUAUGGAUUGUUAUGGUAAAUCAGUUACUUUUUAUCGUCCUGGACUACUCGAAGUUACUUUUGUGGGCGAAAGAAGUGGGGUGAGACAUGGUGUUAUUUCUUCCAUAAGAGCAAGGAAAUUAUUAUCGAAGGGUUGUCAGGGAUAUUUAGCACAUGUGGUGUUAAAUGAUGUUGUUUCUCCUAGUAUAUAAGAAGUUGGUGUGGUCAGACAUUAUCCGGAUGUAUUUCCUGAUGAUUUGUCGGGGCUGCCGCCAGACAGAGAGGUGGAAUUCUCUAUUGAUUUGCUUCCAGGUACUGACCCUAUAUCUCUAACUCUUUAUAGAAUGGCCCCUGCUGAGUUGAGAGAAUUGAAAAUUCAGUUGCAAGAAUUACUUGAUAAAGGUUUCAUUCAACCUAGUUCGUCACCUUAGGGAGCUCCAGUAUUAUUUGUGAGGAAGAAAGAUGGAACUCUGAGAUUAUGCAUUGACUAUAGGCAAUUGAAUCGGGUAACGAUUAAAAACCGUUAUCCAUUGCCUCGCAUCGACGAUUUGUUUGAUCAGCUGAAAGGUGCGUGUGUAUUUUCUAAGAUUGAUUUGAGAUCCGGUUAUUACCAGUUGAAGAUUAAAGAGGAAGAUGUACCUAAGACAGCUUUCCGAACCCGUUACGGACAUUAUGAAUUUCUGGUUAUGCCAUUUGGGUUGACUAAUGCACCUGCAGCUUUCAUGAGGUUAAUGAAUGAGGUAUUCCAGCAAUAUCUUGAUAAAUUUGUUAUUGUUUUUAUUGAUGAUAUUCUGGUAUACUCUAACUCUAAAGCAGAUCAUAUCCGACAUCUUAACUUGGUAUUAAAGAAAUUGAGGGAGCAUCAGUUUGUAUGCUAAGUUCAGUAAAUGUCAGUUUUGGUUGACUGAAGUGGCAUUUUUGGGGCAUGUUGUAUCGACUCAAGGAAUCCAAGUUGAUCCUCAAAAGAUAGCAGCGGUGGAGAAUUGGGAGCAACCUCGAACCGUCACUGAGGUACGAAGUUUUCUUGGUUUAGCAGGUUAUUAUCGACGGUUUGUUCAGGAUUUUUCUAUGAUUGCCUUGCCGUUAAUGAAGUUGACCAGGAAGGAUGUUAAAUUCGAGUGGGAUGAAAAUUGUGAGCGGAGCUUCUAGCAAUUGAAAUAUUGCCCCACUCAUGCUCCAGUAUUGGUACUUCCUCACAAUAGUGGUAAUUUUGAGAUUUAUAGUGAUGCUUCCUUGAAUGGUUUGGGAUGUGUUUUGAUGCAGCAUAAUAGAGUAAUUGCUUAUGCUUCUCGACAGUUGAAAAAUCAUGAAAGGAAUUAUCCUACUCACGAUCUUGAAUUGGCAGCCAUUGUUUUCGCUUUGAAGAUUUGGAGGCAUUAUUUAUAUGGUGAGAAGUGUAAGAUCUUCACUGAUCACAAGAGUCUUCAGUAUCUGUUUACUCAGCAUGAUCUUAAUCUUCGUCAGCGAAGGUGGAUGGAAUUGUUAAGUGAUUAUGACUAUACUAUCGAGUAUCAUCCGGGUCGUGCUAAUGUGGUAGCUGAUGCACUGAGUAGGAAACCUCAAGGUAGACUUAAUGCCUUAUAAGCUAGCCGUGUUCCUCUUCUUGCUGAACUGAGGGCAACUGGAGUAAAGUUAGAGUUGGAAGAUCGAAGUGGAGCCUUUCUUGCUAGUUUUCAAGUCAGGCCAGUUUUGGUUGAUCAUAUACUCGAAGCUCAGAUGGUGGUUGAGGAAAUUCAAGAAAUGGUUCAGUUAAGAAGUGAAGGGAAAAAGAAAGACCUCAGGAUUCGGGAAUCAGAUGGUAUGCUUAUGCAGGAAAAUAGAAUGUAUGUUCCGAAUAAUGAGGAAUUAAAGAAGGAAAUAUUGGAUGAAUCGCAUUGUUCAGCUUAUGCGAUGCACCCGAGAGGCACUAAGAUAUAUCAUACCAUUCGACCAUUUUAUUAUUGGCCGGGUAUGAAAAAGGAAAUUGCUGAGUAUGUGAGUAGAUGUAUUAUUUGCCAGCAAGUUAAAGCAGAAAGAAAGAAGCCUUUUGGGCGAAUGCAGCCACUUCCUGUUCCCCAGUGGAAAUGGGAAAAUAUAACCAUGGACUUCGUGUAUAAACUUCCUCGUACAUGAAACGGAUUUGAUGGUAUUUGGGUGAUUGUGGAUCGACUUACCAAGUCAGCGCAUUUCAUUCCAGUGAGGGAGAAGUAUCCUCUGAAUAAAUUGGCUAAGUUGUUCAUUACGAAGAUUGUGAAGUAUCAUGGAGUUCCAGUGAAUAUUAUUUCUGAUCGAGACCCAAGAUUUACUUCUAAAUUUUGGGUAGCUUUUCAGGAAGCUCUUGGUACGCAAUUGCUUUAUAGCACUGCUUAUCAUCCUCAAACUGAUGGGCAAUCAGAGAGGACUAUUCAGACGUUGGAGGAUAUGUUGAGAUCUUCAGUAUUACAAUUCGGUGAUUCCUGGCAUGAUCGGCUGGACUUGAUGGAAUUUGCCUACAAUAAUAGUUUUCACUCGAGCAUUGGUAUGUCACCAUUUGAGGCACUUUAUGGUAGGGCGUGUCGUACGCCAUUGUGUUGGUCUGAGGUUGGUGAAAGAGUGUUAGAAGGCCCAGAGAUUGUGGAUGAGACUACUCAAAAUAUCCAGGUGAUUAAGUCUAACCUGAAAGCAGCCUGGGAUCGACAGAAGAGUUUAGCAGAUCGACAUGCCACUGAUCGAGUGUAUAAUGUGGGCGAUUGGGUAUUUUUGAAAUUGUAACCUUGGAGAGGUGUGGUACGAUUUGGAAAAAGAGGGAAGCUAAGUCCGAGAUACAUUGGACCUUAUGUGAUCACUGAAAGAGUUGGUGAAGUUGCCUACCGAUUGGAGUUGCCUCCGGAGUUAUCUAAGGUCCAUAAUGUGUUCCACGUCUCUAUGCUUCGACAUUAUAUUUCUGAUCCUUCUCAUGUGAUCCCUCCUCAACCGCUAGAGAUUAAUCCGGAUUUGACACAUAUGAUGAAGAACCAGUCACAAUCUUGGAUUGGAAAGAUAAGGUUUUAAGAAAUAAGAUGGUGAGUUUGGUAAAGGUGUUAUGGAGGAACCAUUCCGUAGAAGAAGCUACCUGGGAGACAGAAGAUCGUAUGAGAGAGAUGUACCCAAGAUUAUUCUAUGGGUAUUAAGUGGUUUAAUUGGUUAUGGGAAUUUCGGGGACGAAAUUCUAUAAGGAGGGGAGAUUGUCAUAGCUCGUCCCGGGAUUUUCUUAUUAAGGACAUGAAAUGACGGAUUUACCCUUAGCGGGUAUUAAGGUAUGUGUGUGACAUUAUUUGGUUUAACCUUAGAUAUGUUUUGGAAGAAAAUAAAUAAGAUGAGUUGGAUUAUUAAAUUUGGUUUUUGUUAAUUUUGGUUAGGGAUUUAGAUGAUGGAUGGUGUGGAUUGAAAUGGACCAUCUAAACCCUUACCCUUUCUCUAUCCCGUAGCUCUCUCUCUCUCCUCCAUCUCGACACUCUCUCUCUCACACCCAUAUUGUAUGGCCACACCCAAAACUCAGUGGAUCGAAGUAAACAAGGUAAGAAUCUUCAUCCUCGUGAUGUUUUGAGUUGAUUGGUGCUAGUUUUAGGACGUGGAACCUUCGAUUUCACGUGAACCCGAACCCCCCAUUUUUUGUCACUGUUCAUGCACACGUGAAAUGUUGUGUUUCAAGGAAUUAUAAGCUUAUAAUGAGCUUAGUGAGGUCCCAAGGAAGCUCGGAGUGCUUCGUUUGAAGGAUUUGGACGUCGGGAUCACGAGGGUUGAGUUUGGCUGGUUUUGCUUGGAUUUUUCCGGUGAGAUUUAGUUGUUUUUGGAGCUUAAAAUUAGUGUAUCGUGACUCUACAUGUUUGGGGCUUCAUUUUGGUAUAAAAUACGAAGAAAAUGGUUGAGAAACGAAGGAGAACAAGGCGUUUAAAGUUUGGCCGGAAACCGGCCGCUGGAAAAACCAGUCCGGCGAACCAAGGUUGGGGAUGAUGCGCGUGGGGGCGCGUGUCCCAGUGCCUGUCCUGGCGCGUGGGGGCGCAUGCGGCCUCCAAAAAUUUAUUUAAAAAUUUCUCGACGUCCGUGACGUCGAGUAGGUCGAUGUGGUAUAUUCAUAUACCCAAAUUGAGCAUCGUAUGAAAAGUUAUUUCGAAUUGUUGGUUAUGUGUGUUUAAAUUAACGUUUUUAUAGUUGUUUCGCAUAUAGGUGACACUUAUCCCGAGGACGAGCGCAUCCAGGGACGUCAUGGGGGUUACGACCCAUCGACUUAUCAGUGAGUGGGCAGUUUUGUUUUCGUAUUACCUAUAUACAACUAUUUUUCCCAGAAAAUGCGUUUAUAUGAAAAUUAUGAUUUAAAUUGCCAUGCAUGAAAAUGUUGAGAUAUUUAGUUUGAUAAUGGAUGCAUAUAUAUGUUAAUUGACGCGGUGGACGCACAUGUGAGUUUUUAUAUUAUUCAGAUGAGUUAUUUUAUGAGAAUUGCAUUGAAAGCUCAUAACCUGCACCCUAGGUGUUAGUGCUUAUAUUAUUAUUCACCACACCGCACGCUCGUCUUGGAUCCAAGUAGGUGGAUGUCGUACAGACCAUGUGAGGGUUCCGACAUGCUAGUCGUAUAGAUCACUAGAUGUGAUUCCGACUAGUGGGUGACCUUAGUUAUGCGCGCUGAUGAUUGAUGAGAGAAGCACUAGAGCGUAUUUAUACACCUUUCAUCGUACAGACUACUAUACGUAGUUCCGAGUGAUGUGCAGUGUAGUGCCGUACAGGUCACAGUUGGUGACUCCGGCAGGGCCGUAUAGGUCACUGUGGUGACUCCGGUUGAGUAGGAUGUUGAGCUUUAGAAUCAGCCGUACAUGACCAUUGUAGGGUCUCCGGUUGAUUUAUUAUUUCACCUGAUUGAUAUUGGUGCAUUUCUGAUUAUAUUUGGCAUGGCGUGGCAUAUAAUUUCUGAGAUGUUAUAUUGUUGGAUAUGAGCUGAGUUUUGAUGAUAUGUGUAUAUAUAUGUUUAUAUACUAUUUUUCUGGGAAAGUAUACAGGUUUUACGGUGAGGGGUUAGAAAUGUUUUAAAUGAAAUGUUUUGGAAAAUCUUUGAUUUUACUAACCCACUCAUCUUUGUUUUGCGCCCCUCCAGGUUCUAGUUAGCGGUUGGUGGCUCUCGAGGUCUUUUUUCGGCAUUCUGACAGACGUUCUGCAUGUAGGACUCACCUGCGGGUGAUGUAUUUAUUUUGGUCCUAUUUGACUGCACUUAAACCUUUGCUCUGAAUUUAUGUGUUUACCUUAUAACUCAUCCUUUUAUUCUAAUAGGUGGUUCUACUAGAGAUUGGUUUGAAUUCCUUCAUAUUCUGUUAUAUCUUGCUUCCGUGUCGCACUUUUGGUUACGUCACGCUCACGUGACGACCAGCACGCCUUGAUCCUCUGGGUCGGGGUGUGUCAAAUCAGGUACAAUACAAUUACAAGAUUAUAUAGCUAAAAAUGUCUUAGAAUUUCCAGAUAAGUUAGAAGACAAAAAACAGUUAUAAGCAUUUUUAGGAUUGUUGAAUUAUGCAAGAAAUUUUAUCCCUGAUUUAGAAAGAAAAAUAGGAGUAUUACAUAGUAAAACUUGCAAAAUAGGACAAAAAUAUUUUAAUAGUGAAGAUAUUAAAUUAGUUCAAAAUAUAAAAGAAGAAAUUACUAAACUUAAGCCAUUAACAUUACCAUUAGAUGAUAGUUCUAAAGUAGUCGAAACAGAUGCUUCAUCAUUAGGAUGAGCAUGUAUACUAUACCAGAAAAAGAAUAAGGAGUCACCAAAGUCUAACGAACAAGUUUGUAGAUAUUCAUCAGGAAAAUUUAGUGAUGUACAACCAAGAUUACCAUUAACAGAUUUAGAAAUUUUCGAAAUAAUUAACUCACUUGAAGCAUUCUCUUUAUUUUUACAUAAUGAAGUAUUUACGAUUAGAACAGAUUGUCAAAAUAUAGUUUCUCAUUAUAACAUACCAGAUUCGCAUGACAAGCUCGGUUAAAUAGUCGGAUGACCAUUAUAACAACUAGACAUAAAACCUUGCACAUGGAACUCGACAUGUUUUAGCAUGACGGCCACUCACAGUACAAAUAUAAACUCUUAAUGUCUGAACUCAGAGGUACCCUAGUUAAUAUCCAUUUAUUUGUAUGGCAAGCAUUCAACUAUAACAGAAUGCUCGAACAAAGUAUGAUUGUCACGCCCGAUCCCGACAUACAUCCAGGAUCGACACGUGACAGAAGAUUGUAGGGGGAUGCCAGGAAAUACAAACUGGAAUACUGAACUGAAUAUAUAUUUAAGGAAAGGUAUAUGGAUUAGUAACCAAAUGUAGUGAUAGGAUGAUCACAUUUAAGUGUUCUCUUCACUUUGUUCUAAAUUUAAAUUCUAAAAGGAGCUACCUAACUUAGGUAGUUUUACCGGACAUCCUUCACAAAAACACAAGAUUUUAUUAUAUUUUAAUUGUAUACAAAUCGACUCCAUGCCAUUUUAUUUAGGGAACUUUAACGAAAAGCAUCUGGUACUAUUCACUUUAACGAAAAACCAUAUUUUUACACUAAAAAGUCAAUCCUGGUACUAUUCACUUUACCUUUUAUUUUGUCCUUAUCAUUAAAACUCAAAGUUUUCAAGCCCUUUUCAUUAGUUUUUCUUUUUAUUUAAUGUGAGAGGUGUUGUAAUUAGACAGUCCUAUGCUCCACCCUAGUUUUUAGACUCUUCCAAACUUGUUAGUGGCCAUACAUUACCGACUCACUAGUGACCAGCAGAAUGAUUAGUUCACAAUAUUAAAAUUCUGAUAAAGUCGUCAUCCUUAAUUCUCCUCUCUAACCGUCCGACCAACACCAAAACCCAGAUCAUGCGAGAUACUCAAAAUCCAACUGAGAAAUCAAGUCCAUGACACUUAUCAUGCACCACCAAAAGUCGCGCAUGAUCAGCAUAUAUCGUAUCCUUUAUAUGUAGAUAUUAUGUAGAUAUUAUUUCGUCACUGCUGCCGACUCCACCGCCACCUCACAGUCGUCUAUAAAACGGCCACCCACUUUGUACGGACACAUUCUGCGCCAAAUUCUGAUUGCCAAAAAAAAAAAAAAAAAAUCUCUGCAGAGAACCAAAAAUGGCGUACAAGUACGAUUUCUCAUUUUCGUGGUCUUUCUUUUUUCUGGGUCCAUCUGAAUUUCUGAUUUUUUUUAUUGCUGUAAAAUUAAUCCAAGAUUGUUUUGUUUCUUGGUGUUGCAGGCAUGAGGAACUUCCUCCACCGUUGGAUUCCACUUCCUCCCCUCCUCCUCUCUUUGACGGCACUACAAGGUUUACCUCUUUCCUCCACUUUUUUGGUCUGAAAUGGUUGAUUACAAAUCCCAUUGCUCAACUUAUACGUUCAAAUACUCACGAUAUAUACUGAAAAAUGAUUAUUUCAGCAUUUGAAAUUUGUAAUGUGAUCAUUUCAGCCAAUUUUCCCAAGAUAAAACACAUUUUUGAGGCUGUUUUCGCCUUCUGUCUCGUCCGAAUUUCAAUUUUGGCCACCUUGUUUUUUAUUUAUCUCAUUUUGCUCGCUGUUUUUGUUCACUGAGUUUCGUUUUGUUCAGUGAUUACCAUGUUUUGAUGUGUAUUGGUUGCUUUGUGUUGAAGGCUGUACGUAAAUUACACAAGUCCAUUUGCACAGCGGGUUUGGAUCACUAGGAACUAUAAGGUCUGUUCUCUAUUUUCACCAUAUUUUUCUUUUUUGGAGCUUCUGGCAAAGGCCCUGAUUUCAUUCAAUUUGUUGUUUGAGGAAUUGGCUAAUAUGAUGAAAUACAAAUCCCUAUAGCGGAAAUGAUUAUUUUUCACUAUAUUUGAUGGAUAUGUCGUGGUUAUUUGAUUUAAAUCAUUUCAUGAAUUGGUAAAUUGAGAAUUAAUCAGAAUCCAUGUCUUAUUGUUUGUUUUUGUUGAAAUUUUUUGAGUUGCAGGGUUUGCAAGACAAGAUUAAGUUAGUGGGUAUAGAUCUUGAAAACAGGCCCUGCUUGGUACAAGGAAAAAGUCUACCCCGGAAACAAGGUAAAAUUUUGAGCAAAAAUUAGUGUUCUCUGCUUCUUUGCUGCCAUUGAUUAUCUGUGGAAAAUUUGGUGAAGCUGGAUAAAUCUCUUGAUUGAUUAUUUUUAUAGGUGCCAUCUCUGGAGCACAAUGGAAAAGUCAUUGGAGAAAGUCUUGAUCUGAUCAAAUACCUCGAAAGCAACUUCGAAGGGCCUUCACUUGUCCCCAAUGUAAGAUAUCCAGAAUUUGAUUGUGCGUCAAGUAACAUGACUUUGUCUUCUCAGAAAUUUGACCAGAGUGAUGCUGCGAAAUUGUUUUUAGGACGACCCUGAGAGAAAAAAGUUUGGCCAAGAAUUAUUAAAUUAUGUUGAUACCUUUGUGGGGUCCUUGUAUCGCUCAUUGAAAGGAGACACGGUAAAAGCAGCUGGUAAGACUUGGAAGAUUCUCCCGUUAGUGACUGUUUUUGUUCAUGAAUUUACGCUGAACGAAUUUGGUUAACUGCAUCAGAUGAGCAGUUUGAUUACUUGGAAAAUGCUCUUAAGAAAUUUGACGAUGGGCCAUAUCUUCUGGGUCAGUUCAGUUUGGUAAGUUGAAUGUACAAUGUAUCUACAUGCCAAUUAAUGUUUUCGCAUUUCUAAUAAAAUGAGCUAGUAGUAACACAUAAGUGCUUAAGUAAUGGAUACAAAUUUGUGAUAUCCAGGUGGACAUAGCCUAUAUCCCGUUCGUUGAGCAGUUCCAAGUCUUCUUAUCAGACGUGUUCAAGUAUGACAUCACAGCUGGGAGGCCUAAACUAGCAGCAUUCUUGGAGGUACAUUAACAAGUCAUAGAAUUGUAUAAUGAAUGUCAUGGAUUCCAUUGUCUGAGCUUUAUCCCAUGUACGGAUGACUGUCUCUCAUCUGUUUAAAAACAAACUUAAACGUUUCAU
rnacentral:lncRNA from 1 species